GCGAUUUCCCGUUUGACUGCAACAAUGGUACGUUCCUAAACCUUUAAAUUCCUCUCAAGCAUGGCCGACUUUGGCAGGUGGCAAAUAUGGCACUCCGUGAGGAUAGUUGGGAGGAUGAGUUGCAGGGACAGUUCUCGCCUUUAUCCGCUACUUCAUUCGAGGUCAAAGAAGAAAGUGAGGACACACAUGGAAGCUCCAACACGGGGAUACUAGACUUAAGUGACGAAGUCUUUAUUCUCAUCCUACGACGGCUGGAUCCCACGUCUCUCUUGAGAGUUGGAAGCACCUGCCGAACCCUGUUUCGAGUUUGUUCCUGCAACUCACUGUGGACAAAACACUUCCAGACCUCAUUUGGAGUUCCGUUUGCCACCGCCACCUGCUCCAUCUCUGCCAAGAGUGCCUUCCGUUUGGUCUUCAUGUGGCGAACUCUCUUUAGAAACCUGCAUUGUAACCGGUCUCUCCAGGAGAAGCUCUUUGCAGAGAUCCCAUUCCCGCCACACAAGUACUGGGUCCAAUGGCUGGUUCUGGAAGAGACUGUUCCUCUGCCCUCCGUGAGACUGCCUUGCACUGACAUAGAGAGCUUAUGGGGAAUUGAGAAGGAAGUGUUGGAAGGUAAAGUACAAGAGAAAGAUGAGGAUGAGGGCAGAAUGCUGAAGUUCGAAUGGAAGGAGCUGUAUGCCUUGGCCCUUGAGCACCAUGGAAGCAUUGCCAAGGUUUUCCAGCAUGUCCUCAACCAACAGAGCAAUGACCACUGUGAGCUGGAGGCCAUGUUCAGUCAGUACAGCCAGUGUCGGUUCCAGUGGCUCUUCACCUACUGGUUGUUCCGCCAGCCAGUGCCCUUCGACAGGCAGCUCAGGGCCAUCUACCUGCAGUGGCAGAAGCACAGCAAGAGGAAGGUGGUGUCCUGGGGAGGCACGUUGUGUGACAUCAGGUACCUGGCCUCAUUGCAUCACAUCACUUCCGACUACUGGCGGGGCAAGCUGGCCCACGGUGACGAGACUGUGGGAAUUCAGACGGUGGAAAACUAUUUCUCCAUGUGCAAAUCCCUGGUGGCCUGGAUUUUAGGGCGUGACUGGGGCAGAUUGAAAAGCAAAAAGGUGUACGAGGACACGCUGGAGGGUGUGUACCUGCUGCUGAGGAGGGAGAUGCAGGAGACCCUGGUGGAGCACGAGAGGUUCUGGCAGGUGGCCAAGGUCCAGAUGACCCGAGUGUGCACCCUGGAGGAGACUGCUGGAAACUAUGUCAACUGGAAGAUGACUGAAACACUGCCCUACUACAAGCUGUACAUGGUGUCAGGCAACAUGGUUUACCUAGACCACGUGCAGGGCUUCCUCCACAGGAAGAGGCUGGUCCAUGACUGGUUCUUCAUGAAGGAGAACACCUGGGUCAGACAGCUGCUGCCUGGGGACCUCUACCCUCUGCUGGAGUUUGACACUAAGAUCUCCCAAGAUGAUGACCUCAUCAAGUAUUAUGAAUCAGAAAUGGAACCGUGACUCCGAAACCGCAACACGUACUGAACUGUGGGGCUUGGUGAACUGUUACGCCCCUAAUAGCAGGGUCUUACCGUCAGCUCAAGGCUCCUUCAGGUCCAGCAUGGGGAGCCGGACCCCGUCCUCAAGACACUGCUCCACCUUCUCCUGCAGGCUGGGGGAACCAGGGAGAGACACAGCGUUAGGGCACCGUCUGUCAUCAACACAACCCCAACUUACCAGCUCUGACUGUUUUAACACACUGUUGCAACGAGGAGGAGGAGUUGCAGAGGAAGAUUGUAUUUCCGACACACCUCUGUACAGCAGCCACCAGCUCCUUCUCCCGCUUGCACUGGGUCUCAAUCAGGUCCUCCUUCGCCUGCAGAACGGCGCAGCCCUCCUCCAGACUCUUCUCCAGACAAGCCACUGUGUCCUGCAGACCCUGGGCCUUCCCCUGACAGUCCUCCAGCUGAUGAACACAUAUAGGAAAAGAAAAUUAGGACUAUACACACACUAUCUGUGACUAUCCCAACCACACCUCAGAGAACACCACAGGAACAUGUGUACACAAAGACCAGUAACUAAGACUGACCAGGCCAAAGGAAUAUCAGUACCCAAUACACACAAACCACUAAAUAAAGUU